rnacentral:rRNA from 1 species
GAAAUGCGAUACCUAGUGUGAAUUGCAGAAUUCCGCGAAUCAUCGAGUUUUUGAACGCAAGUUGCGCCCGAGGCUCGUACCGAGGGCAUGUCUGUCUGAGCGUCCA